AAGAAUUCCCCAGUACUGAGGG
rnacentral:miRNA from 1 species